CAAGUCGAACGCGAAAGUCCCGCAAGGGAUCAGUAGAGUGGCAAACGGGUGAGUAACGCGUGGGUGACCUGCCUUCGAGCGGGGGAUAACGUUCCGAAAGGGACGCUAAUACCGCAUGACAUCCUGCUUUUUAACAAGUGGAGAUCAAAGCUUGGGACCGCAAGGCCAGGCACUCGAAGAGGGGCCCGCGUCUGAUUAGCUAGUUGGUGGGGUAAUGGCUCACCAAGGCAACGAUCAGUAUCCGGCCUGAGAGGGCGGACGGACACACUGGGACUGAGACACGGCCCAGACUCCUACGGGAGGCAGCAGUGGGGAAUUGUUCGCAAUGGGCGCAAGCCUGACGACGCAACGCCGCGUGGAGGAUGAAGAUCUUCGGGUCGUAAACUCCUUUCGAUCGAGACGAACGGCUUCCGGGUAACAUCCGGGAGAGUGACGGUACCGAGAGAAGAAGCCCCGGCUAACUCCGUGCCAGCAGCCGCGGUAAUACGGGGGGGGCAAGCGUUGUUCGGAAUUACUGGGCGUAAAGGGCUCGUAGGUGGCCAACUAAGUCAGACGUGAAAUCCCUCGGCUUAACCGGGGAACUGCGUCUGAUACUGGAUGGCUUGAGUUUGGGAGAGGGACGCGGAAUUCCAGGUGUAGCGGUGAAAUGCGUAGAUAUCUGGAGGAACACCGGUGGCGAAGGCGGCGUCCUGGACCAACACUGACACUGAUGAGCGAAAGCCAGGGGAGCAAACGGGAUUAGAUACCCCGGUAGUCCUGGCCCUAACGAUGAAUGCUUGGUGUGGCGGGUAUCGAUCCCUGCCGUGCCGAAGCUAACGCAUUAAGCAUU
rnacentral:rRNA from 1 species